rnacentral:lncRNA from 1 species
AACAGCAUCAACCAGAAAGAACUGCUGGAGCUCAUUUGGCCCAAAACCUUGGUGGGGUGAGAUCUUUGACAGCUCCAACUGUUCAGUCCUCUUGACCUACUGAUCAUCUUUUUUUAAUGUUGUUUGAAUUUCUGUGAAAAAUUAAGUAUCAGAGCCCCUGGGACUGGAACUUCAGAGAUAUGGCUGAGCUCAUGAACUAUUGGUUAUCUCUGGGUACAAGAGACAAUCAUUUUUUCAUGCCAGAAGAUGUUGGUUUCAUCCUGGUUUGGAAGAGGAAUACCACUGAAACCUUUAAAAAAAUCUGUAGGAUAAAAAACCCUGGUGUCUGCUCACUGUCUUCACAGAUCUCAGAAAGAACCAUCAAAAAAUAACCACUGUUUGUACUGCAGAGAGCACUCAAAUAACCCUAAUCAUGGAGCAGAGCUCUGCUUGGAGCAGAUAUUGUACCAACAAAGAAAAUAAGGCAGCAUGAAGGUCAGUUUCCAGGCCUGUACCCUCACUCUUGCCACAGAAUGUGCUGCAACCCAUAGACACCAACACCUCAUCUAAGACCCUUGCUCUUCACCAGAACCUUUAUUUGUUUGUUUUUGUUUGUUUUCUGAUUUCUGUUUUUUUUUUUUUUCUUUUUUUCUUUUUUUCUUUUUUUCUUUUGUCCACAAGCCCACUGCUGUGUCCAUUUCUAGAGAUUCCUCCUCGAUUCACAUUCUUCUGAAUAAGUCCUCUGUCGAGGGGUGAAGGCCUGACUCAGAGGAACUCACAGAAUGGUGUUCAGGCAGCCUUCUCAAGAACUGUCUUGCACAAAAGAUGUGGAAGCAAUUCAGUGUGUCCAAAACAACUGAUGAUGUGGCAGGAUUAGAACCUGAUCCAGGCUACGGUGGGGUAGCUGGCUCAUCUCAGUGGGAGAGCUGGAAUGGAGUGUUAAAUUGCUGCGAGAAGAAACUGUUCCAAAGCCACGCGGAUUCUUCACAGUGCUUCCUACGCCAAACAUCCUCACUCCCACAGGGAAGAAAAGCAGCGUGGAAAGGUGGCAGUGCUCGUAAUCUGUGCGACUGGCACAGGAGGAGCAGCCUGUGAGCAGCCUCUGGCUCCACCGACUGGCAUGUGGUUCCCUGGGGUAGUGAGGCUGUGAGGGGGCCCCAGCUGAUAUGGGGCCGGGGCUUUCCCCCUGCUCAUCUCCAGCACAGGGGCCCAGCACUCACAGCCAGUGCUGAAAGCACAAGGGAGGGCUGCCACUGGCAGCUUUUGUGCUGGUCUCGGCGUUGAGGCCCACUGGAGAUCUGGCAUCUGAGGAGCAGAGAGCAAGAGCCUCCAGGAGCCAGCAGCACCAGCAGGAAUGGGAGGCAAGCAAAAGCCAUGAGUGGUUGGUGUUCCCAUUUAGCACUGCCCUAUUAAGCAGUGUUCUUUGCUAGAAAUAACACCAACCUCAAGCAUCUUCCUCUGGGAGGCAUUCCAGUUAGGAACUUUUUCCAUUUAACCGAGAAAUGCAGGGUGUUAAAAAGUGUUCAGUCUGGACUACAGUCAAAUAGGAAAAUAAAUAAAUAAAUAAAUAAUGUGUAAUUUAAGCU